UGUAGAUGCAAUCACAAUACACCAUGCCGCUAGGGAUUAUGAAUGGAAUUUCCCCAUUCACUAGUCAGGUGCUUAUUAUGAAAUCAUUUUAGAUCCUAGUGUUAUUUCACCUUAUUAUUACCAUUGUAAUAUUUAUUGUUAAUGGUUUCUUCUGCAUAGAUGUUGGAGUAUCAUAAUAGAUCUCAUGGAACCAUUUUGAGUCAGGAGGAGGAGGAACUCUCCCUCUCUUUUAUGUACAGGCUUGAAUUUAUAGCUUGUUGUGGAUGAGCUCGACUUCGAUUCCCGCCACUUCUCGUCAAGAAGAGGUAAAAGAGCUUGACCUUGAAAUUUGAAGCAGUUACCUUCGGGUUGGUAAUAGGGGUCAUCUAAAUUAUUAAUGUUACGGGAGUUGUUAUUGUGAUAUUUUCCUUUUUGUGAACGAACAUCACUUCGUUGUAGACAUUUGGAUGAUUUGUCCUUGCUGUUAACUCUGAAUGUUUGAAACAUUUCCAUGGCUGAUUGAA